UAAUACGUAGGAGGCGAGCGUUAUCCGGAUUUACUGGGCGUAAAGAGGGCGUAGGCGGCUUUUCAAGUCGGAUGUUAAAUCUCCCGGCUCAACUGGGAGGGAUCAUCCGAUACUGUUGAGCUUGAGUGCAGCAGAGGGAGGUGGAAUUCCCGGUGUAGUGGUGAAAUGCAUAGAUAUCGGGAGGAACACCAGUGGCGAAGGCGGCCUCCUGGGCUGUUACUGACGCUGAGGCCCGAAAGCGUGGGGAGCAAACAGGAUUAGAUACCCUGGUAGUCCACGCCAUAAACGAUGGACACUAGGUAUGGGGAGUAUCGACCCUCUCCGUGCCGAAGCUAACGCGUUAAGUGUCCCGCCUGGGGACUACGGCCGCAAGGCUA
rnacentral:rRNA from 1 species